rnacentral:lncRNA from 1 species
GGCGAAAUCCACUGUACAGGGACUUCUUCUGGCUAUUACCUUAGAGGGAACAAACAGGCCUCAAACUUGUGGAGACUCAGAUCGUGUGCCCUUUAAAAAAUGAAAAGAAAAAAGAAGUAGAAGAAUGGCUCUAUUAUUCCUGGGAGAAAUGGGCAGUUCUGAUGCUUUGUUUUAGGAAAGAAAUUAGAAGAAGCCAAAGUGACCUAAUUGAGAAGGCAAAAAAUAACAUAUUUCCACUGGCUCUGAUGCCCUCAAAUUUUUUUCCUGGAUACAUGACUUCGUGGAAGCAGGGAAGAGGAGCCAAAGAAGAUAUGGGAGAGAAGAAAAGCCUGCUGCUUUGUGGAUGCCAAAGGAAGAGAGAACACGUUGUUUGCAGCUUCCUCUGUGAGUUUCACGCCUUCUGGCUGCUGGUCACCAAACCCAAAUUCACAACACCAUGAGUUAGAAUCGAAUCACUGUCUGCUUAGAACCAGAAACUGUACUCAUUUUACCCAUUUGGGAACUGACGACCAAAUAAAUUGAAUGUUGGUCAUAAGUCAUGUAGUGAGUAAUGAUAGGGUCAGAAGCGUAGCCUGAUCCUCCUGGAUGCAGAGCUCCUGUUUCAUCAAUCAUUUGUAUGAUCACUUAGGGUGAUGACAGGUGAUUGAUACAUGUGUUAGGGUUCAUUGGAUGGAAGGACCUUGACACAAGCUUUUGGAACUAUAGUAUCCUUCCCAUCGAAC